CCUACGGGAGGCAGCAGUGAGGAAUAUUGGUCAAUGGCCGUAAGGCUGAACCAGCCAAGUCGCGUGAAGGAAGAAGGCCCUAUGGUUUGUAAACUUCUUUUAUAGGGGAAUAAAGGUAUCCACGUGUGGAUAUUUGCAUGUACCCUAUGAAUAAGCAUCGGCUAACUCCGUGCCAGCAGCCGCGGUAAUACGGAGGAUGCGAGCGUUAUCCGGAUUUAUUGGGUUUAAAGGGUGCGUAGGUUGUUUUUUAAGUCAGUGGUGAAAGUUUGUGGCUCAACCAUAAAAUUGCCGUUGAUACUGGAAGACUUGAGUGUGUUUGAGGUAGGCGGAAUGCGUGGUGUAGCGGUGAAAUGCAUAGAUAUCACGCAGAACUCCGAUUGCGAAGGCAGCUUACUAAGCCAUAACUGACACUGAAGCACGAAAGCGUGGGUAUCAAACAGGAUUAGAUACCCCUGUAGUC
rnacentral:rRNA from 1 species